GCGGGAAUAGCUCAGUUGGUAGAGCAUCACGUUGCCAACGUGAAUGUCGCGAGUUCGAAUCUCGUUUUCCGCUCCA
rnacentral:tRNA from 1 species